AUACGUAGGGUGCAAGCGUUAAUCGGAAUUACUGGGCGUAAAGCGUGCGCAGGCGGCUUUGUAAGACAGUGGUGAAAUCCCCGGGCUCAACCUGGGAACUGCCAUUGUUACUGUAAGGCUUGAGUUCGGCGGAAGGGGAUGGAAUUUCUCGUGUAGCGGUGAAAUGCGUAGAUAUGCGGAGGAACACCGAUGGCGAAGGCAAUCCCCUGGGCCUGCACUGACGCUCAUGCACGAAAGCGUGGGGAGCAAACAGGAUUAGAUACCCUGGUAGUCCACGCCCUAAACGAUGUCAACUGGUUGUUGGGGAUUUAUUUUCUCAGUAACGAAGCUAACGCGUGAAGUUGACCGCCUGGGGAGUACGGCCGCAAGGUUAAAACUCAAAGGAAUUGACGGGG
rnacentral:rRNA from 1 species